rnacentral:ncRNA from 1 species
GGGAAAUCGGGAGGGUAAAAGGGAAACCGGUGCAAAUCCGAUACGAUCUCGUCACUGUGAUGGAAGAGCACGCUGCAAAUGCAUUUGAGAAGCUGUCUUCACAAGACACAUUCUGAGAAUGCGGUCACUGUUUGCGAAUCAAACGGGAAGGCUGCGGCGCUGCGGGGAGUCCUGAGUCAGGAAACCUGCCGUCUUUGG